rnacentral:misc_RNA from 1 species
CUGGAACCGCGCAGGAAGAGCGCCGGGCCGCGCAGCAGGA